AUGACGUCCGCCGCUGCGUCCGGCUCCACCGCCACUGGUUUUCUGCCGGCCUCCCUCGCGGCACUUCUCUCGAGGCCGCUGGAUGCCGCCUCCCUUCAGGCGCCGAUCGGGACACGGAGCGUCGGCUCCCUCUUCGCGCUCCCGCCGGCUGCUACUUCGCCCGGGCAGGCGCUUGUGGCCCACACCACCGCCGCCCCGUCAACCGCGGCUGUCGCGCCCUCGUACACUGCGCCGCUGAUGGCGGAGGACGUCGCGCUGGCAGGCUUCGCGGCGUCAACCGCGGCCAUCGCGCCCUCUGUCACCGCGCCGGCUGCCCCUCCGACUGUCUCCACGAGGCUCACAAAAGGCCGCCGCAAGCCGCUGUACGAGGCCCUGCUCAAGCUCAAAGAAGAGCUGAUGCUGCUGGGCUUCAUCUCCCUACUGCUCACCGUGUUCCAGGGCGCCAUGCAGAAGAUAUGCGUCCGGGAGAGCCUGAUGCACCACCUCCUGCCGUGCCCGCGCGCCGGCGCCGGUGCCACCAAGGUUGCGCGGCACUUUGCCGCUACCGUGUUCACUGGUGUGGUGGGCAGCACGAGGAGGCGCCUCCAGUUUUUUUUUUUGUUUUGCCGGACGGAAGUCACCGGCGGCAUGCAGCCGGGCAAAGUUCCAAUUCUUUCGAUCCAAGCUAUCCAUCAGUUACACAUAUUUAUCUUCGUCUUAGAAGCUACCCAUGUGGUUCUCAGUGCUGUUACAGUUAUUCUUGGAAUCACACAGAUUUGGUUCGUUCCAUCCAGACAAGAAAAUGGAAACACUGGGAGGACAAGAUCCAGCAAAGCAACGAUAAUGUUGCUACUUGUGGUCGGAAGUAAGCUGGAGCAUAUUAUCACGGAGCUAGCUAUCGAUGUUGCCCAGAAGCAUACUGCAAUAGAUGGGGAGCUAGUUGUAGCUCUUUCAGAUGAUUUGUUUUGGUUCCACCGGCCUAAACUAGUCCUUCUAUUGAUCCAUAUCAUCUUGUUCCAAAAUGCAUUUGAGAUUGCAUUUUUCUUCUGGCUGCUGGUAACACAUGGAUUUAAAUCAUGUAUUAUGGGAAAACCAGCAUAUGCUAUUACUCGUCUGGUGAUAAGUGUCAUCAGUCAACUCCUCUGUGGAUACAGCACACUACCUCUGUUUGCUCUCAUAUCUCAAAUGGGAAGCUCAUUCAAGAAAGCCAUGUUCGAUGAAAGUAUAUCCGAAGGCCUCACCAACUGGGCUCAAAAGGCUAGGAAGCGUAAUAGAAUGCCGGCAGAAAGUGUUGGUGACAAUUCACCCGUUGGUCAGGGAAUUCAAAUGACAAAUACAAGAAGAGAAUCAGCAAUCGAGCAAGGGACUGCUAGAUUGAUCUAA
rnacentral:rRNA from 1 species